rnacentral:misc_RNA from 1 species
CUCUUCCUUCGCUGUGUCGGAACUUCAACCUUCGGCUAUUUCUUCUCUUCCCUCUGAUUCGCCGUUUCUUAUGGGCUUACUCGACCAGCUCUGGGACGAUACCGUCGCCGGACCGCGGCCAGAAAGUGGCCUCGGCAAGCUUCGGAAACACUCUACGUUUUCUGGUCGACCUAGCUCCGGCAACAAGGAGCUCGAUGGCGGCAGUGCUAGAUCGUACGGAGAAGAUUCUUCAGAGUCGCCGGUGAGGAUCACAAGGAGUAUUAUGAUAGUAAAGCCUCCAGGUUACCAAAACGGUUCGCCUCCUAUUUCACCGGCCGGAUCUAGCUCUCCGGCGUCUCCCUUUUCUGGUAGAGAAUCCUUCCGGUUUCGAAGAAGGUCGAUCCCUGAGGUUUACGCAAAGACAACCGAUGGUGGAUCCGGGAGCCCUUCUUCUCCUCACAACAUGUGAGAUCUAAGCUUUUGAGCUCUCUUAUAUCUCCCUUCAUGAAUGUUUUCUUCAAAACCUUCAUAGAUUUGUGUAAUUUUUGUGUAUUGUAAUAUGCGGCUGCUGUAGUAUGCAUGUGAAAUUUAGAAGGAAGGUGUUAGAAAAAUGUCUUGUAGGAAGGAGGAUGAUGUUGGAAUGUGUAGAUGAGGGGUAUUAUAGACAACUUGGUAUUAAUAUGUAAAUUUUAGAAGAAGAAAGAAGGGCAUGUGGCUGUUCCAUCAUCUGUCAACUUUUGCUAGUCACUGUUGUUGGGGUUUGUUAGUGGAAUGAAAAAGGGUAGUUCUUUCCAUGUGGGCCUUCUUUGUGGAUUAUCUUUCAUUUUCAAUUGGAGAG